rnacentral:rRNA from 1 species
AUGACGGCCCUAUGGGUUGUAAACUUCUUUUAUAAGGGAAUAAAGUGAGUCUCGUGAGACUUUUUGCAUGUACCUUAUGAAUAAGGACCGGCUAAUUCCGUGCCAGCAGCCGCGGUAAUACGGAAGGUCCGGGCGUUAUCCGGAUUUAUUGGGUUUAAAGGGAGCGUAGGCCGGAGAUUAAGCGUGUUGUGAAAUGUAGAGGCUCAACGUCUGCACUGCAGCGCGAACUGGUUUCCUUGAGUACAGCAAAAGUGGGCGGAAUUCGUGGUGUAGCGGUGAAAUGCUUAGAUAUCACGAAGAACUCCGAUUGCGAAGGCAGCUCACUGGAGCGCAACUGACGCUGAAGCUCGAAAGUGCGGGUAUCGAACAGGAUUAGAUACCCUGGUAGUCCGCACGGUAAACGAUGGAUGCCCGCUGUUGGCCUGAAUAGGUCAGCGGCCAAGCGAAAGCAUUAAGCAUCCCACCUGGGGAGUACGCCGGCAACGGUGAAACUCAAAGGAAUUGACGGGGGCCCGCACAAGCGGAGGAACAUGUGGUUUAAUUCGAUGAUACGCGAGGAACCUUACCCGGGCUUGAAUUGCAGUGGAAUGAUGUGGAGACAAUGACGCCCUUCGGGGCCUCUGUGAAGGUGCUGCAUGGUUGUCGUCAGCUCGUGCCGUGAGGUGUCGGCUUAAGUGCCAUAACGAGCGCAACCCCUCUCCUUAGUUACUAUCAGGUCAUGCUGAGCACUCUGGGGAGACUGCCAUCGUAAGAUGUGAGGAAGGUGGGGAUGACGUCAAAUCAGCACGGCCCUUACGUCCGGGGCUACACACGUGUUACAAUGGCAGGUACAGAGAGAUGGUCCCUUGCAAAAUGGAUCAAAUCCUUAAAGCCUGUCUCAGUUCGGACUGGGGUCUGCAACCCGACCCCACGAAGCUGGAUUCGCUAGUAAUCGCGCAUCAGCCAUGGCGCGGU